UAAACGGCUCUUUUCAGAGCCACCCAAAUUUUGUAAAGAGCAUAUU
rfam:Ciona savignyi cont_9774, whole genome shotgun sequence.